GGAGAAAUGGCAGAGUGGUCGAUUGCGUUUGAUUUGAAAUCAGAUGGGCUUCAAAUGGUCCCGUGAGUUCGAAUCUCACUUUCUCCU
rnacentral:tRNA from 1 species